CGCGAUGAAGGAUGACCGUAAGGACAUGUUGGAGCGUUAACUAGUGAGAAUUCCGGUAUGAGUAGCGAAAGAUAGGUGAGAAUCCUAUCCACCGAAUGAGUAAGGUUUCCCCCGGAAGGCUCGUCCGCGGGGGGUUAGUCGGGACCUAAGGCGAGGCUGAAAAGCGUAGUCGAUGGACAACAGGUUGAUAUUCCUGUACCGAUAUUUAAUUGCCGAAGGAAGGACGCAGAAGGAUAACACAGGCCACUAUUGGAUGUGGUUUUAAACAGUUAGUCUUCAUAAGAGUCAAAUGCUUUUAUGUUUAAGGAUAAGCUGUGAAUGUACCAAGUUUACUUGGAAAUUGUGUGAUUUCACGCUGCUGAAAAAAGUUUCGUAGGAAGAAAAUAUUGCCCGUACCGCAAACCGACACAGGUACUCAAGUGGAGAACACUAAGGUGAGCGAGUGAACUAUUGUUAAGGAACUCUGCAAAAUGAGUCCGUAACUUCGGAAGAAGGACUGCUGGUUUUAUACCAGCCGCAGCAAAUAGGCCCAAACAACUGUUUAUCAAAAACACAGGUUUCUGCAAAAUCGUAAGAUGAAGUAUAGGGGCUGACGCCUGCCCAGUGCUGGAAGGUUAAAAGGAGGACUUAGCUUCGGCGAAGGUCUUAAUUGAAGCCCCAGUGAACGGCGGCCGUAACUAUAACGGUCCUAAGGUAGCGAAAUUCCUUGUCGGGUAAGUUCCGACCCGCAUGAAAGGCGUAAUGAUUUGGGCGCUGUCUCAACAAUAGACUCGGUGAAAUUUAAAUUCCAGUGAAGAUGCUGGGUACCCGCGACAGGACGGAAAGACCCCGUGGAGCUUUACUGUAGCUUGAUAUUGAAUGUUUGUGCUGCAUGUGCAGGAUAGGUAGGAGACUUUGAAGUCGGAACGCUAGUUUCGAUUGAGUCACCCUUGAGAUACUACCUCUGUUGUAUGAACGUUCUAACUCUGAUCAGUUAUCCUGAUCGAAGACAGUGUCUGGCAGGCAGUUUGACUGGGGCGGUCGCCUCCUAAAAGAUAACGGAGGCGCUCAAAGGUUUGCUCAGAAUGGUUGGAAAUCAUUCGUAGCGUGUAAAGGCAUAAGCAAGCUUGACUGUGAGACUGACAAGUCGAGCAGGUACGAAAGUAGGACUUAGUGAUCCGGUGGUUCCGUAUGGAAGGGCCAUCGCUCAACGGACAAAAGCUACCCCGGGGAUAACAGGCUCAUCUCCCCCAAGAGUCCACAUC
rnacentral:rRNA from 1 species